rnacentral:lncRNA from 1 species
UUGCUUCCAAUUGCUUCUACGGUGUGCUGGUGACGGGAGGGGAACAACCACCAUCUCUCUACAUGUUUACCCAUUUACCAGGAAAUAUGUUUAUACUGUUUUCCAAUCAGGAUUUACCACAAGCCGGGAGUUCCACACCUAAUGACCAGGCCAAACCCAGCCCACUGUCAACAGAGAAAAGUCGGCCUCAAACAUGAGAGAUUUUAAAUCACAAUGGACGUUCGAGGAGCAUGACUGCCAGCACUGUGAGCAGCAGGGCUGUCUCCAGCCGUCGACAGGACCAAACAGUAUCUCGGAAGCAUCAGCGAACACGUGUGGACGGAAGGUGCAGCACCCCCGUGAACCGGCCUCGCCCCACCACGGCCUCUCCUUCCAGCAGUCCCUCGGCUCCCCCCAGCCCUGCUCCACGGUGCCCGCCCCCAGCCCAAGGUGCUCACGACUGCCCACAAGAACCCAAACUCAGCCAUCGGAAGGCUGGGCCGCGGGGCUCCGGAGCCUCCAGAGAUGACUCUGCCCCACAGGAUGCCGGCUUCAUCUUCCACAGCCCGCAGGCAGUUCCAGGCACCCCUUCUUGCUGGCAAAAUGGGAGUUCACAGGCCAGAGGAGCCAUCAGUCCUAACACAGCACAAAGAAGGAAACACGACCAUGAGAGAACGGAGAAGGGCCACCCUAGGCAGCCAGCCAAGGGCCCAAGAGGUAAAAAGAGUGGAAGUGGCGCGCAGUCAAGAUUCCCCAAAAGGUGA